UAAUACAUGCAAGUCGAACGAGCUUCCGUUGAAUGACGUGCUUGCACUGAUUUCAACAUUGAAGCGAGUGGCGAACUGGUGAGUAACACGUGGGUAACUUGCCCAGAAGCAGGGGAUAACACUUGGAAACAGGUGCUAAUACCGUAUAACAACAGAAACCGCAUGGUUUCUGUUUGAAAGGUGGUUUCGGCUAUCACUUCUGGAUGGACCCGCGGCGUAUUAGUUAGUUGGUGAGGUAAAGGCCCACCAAGACAAUGAUACGUAGCCGACCUGAGAGGGUAAUCGGCCACAUUGGGACUGAGACACGGCCCAAACUCCUACGGGAGGCAGCAGUAGGGAAUCUUCCACAAUGGACGAAAGUCUGAUGGAGCAAUGCCGCGUGAGUGAAGAAGGGUUUCGGCUCGUAAAACUCUGUUGUUAAAGAAGAACACUUCUGAGAGUAACUGUUCAGAAGUUGACGGUAUUUAACCAGAAAGCCACGGCUAACUACGUGCCAGCAGCCGCGGUAAUACGUAGGUGGCAAGCGUUGUCCGGAUUUAUUGGGCGUAAAGCGAGCGCAGGCGGUUUCUUAAGUCUGAUGUGAAAGCCUUCGGCUUAACCGGAGAAGUGCAUCGGAAACUGGGAGACUUGAGUGCAGAAGAGGACAGUGGAACUCCAUGUGUAGCGGUGGAAUGCGUAGAUAUAUGGAAGAACACCAGUGGCGAAGGCGGCUGUCUAGUCUGUAACUGACGCUGAGGC
rnacentral:rRNA from 1 species